GACAGCAGUGCCGCGGUAACACGUAGGUGGCAAGCGUUGUCCGGAAUUAUUGGGCGUAAAGGGCUCGCAGGCGGUUUCUUAAGUCUGAUGUGAAAGCCCCCGGCUCAACCGGGGAGGGUCAUUGGAAACUGGGAAACUUGAGUGCAGAAGAGGAGAGUGGAAUUCCACGUGUAGCGGUGAAAUGCGUAGAGAUGUGGAGGAACACCAGUGGCGAAGGCGACUCUCUGGUCUGUAACUGACGCUGAGGAGCGAAAGCGUGGGGAGCGAACAGGAUUAGAUACCCCCGUAGUCCCUGUCUCUUAUACA
rnacentral:rRNA from 1 species